ACCCUGCCUUACUCUAGUUACAUAUACUUUCUUUAAUGUAGCUGACUGAGACAAGGGACC
rnacentral:pre_miRNA from 1 species